rnacentral:rRNA from 1 species
UACGGAGGAUGCGAGCGUUAUCCGGAUUUAUUGGGCUUAAAGGGAGCGCAGGCGGUCUGUUAAGUCAGCGGUCAAAGCCCGGGGCUCAACCCCGGCCCGCCGCUGAAACUGGCAGUCUCGAGUUGGAGAGAAGUAUGCGGAAUGCGCGGUGUAGCGGUGAAAUGCUUAGAGAUCAUACAGAACACCGAUUGCGAAGGCAUCUGACGAAUCGGAGAUUGACGCUGAUGCACGAAAGCGUGGGUAUCGAACAGG